GCCGCGGUAAUACGGAGGGUGCAAGCGUUAAUCGGAAUUACUGGGCGUAAAGCGCGCGUAGGCGGCCAUUUAAGCUAGAUGUGAAAGCCCCGGGCUUAACCUGGGAAUUGCAUUUAGAACUGGGUGGCUAGAGUAUGGGAGAGGAGUGUGGAAUUUCAGGUGUAGCGGUGAAAUGCGUAGAGAUCUGAAGGAACAUCAGUGGCGAAGGCGACACUCUGGCCCAAUACUGACGCUGAGGUGCGAAAGCGUGGGGAUCAAACAGGAUUAGAUACCCUGGUAGUCCACGCCGUAAACGAUGAUGGCUGGGUGUGCGCCCGCGAGGGCGCGUGCCUGAGGGAAACCAUUAAGCCAUCCACCUGGGGAGUACGGCCGCAAGGCUGAAACUCAAAGGAAUUGACGGGGGCCCGCACAAGCGGAGGAGCAUGUGGUUUAAUUCGAUGAUACGCGAGGAACCUUACCUGGGCUCGAACGCUUCUGGAAUCACGCCGAAAGGCGUGAGCCGGCAACGGCCGGGAGCGAGGUGCUGCAUGGUUGUCGUCAGCUCGUGCCGUGAGGUGUCGGGUUAAGUCCCAUAACGAGCGCAACCCCUACCGCCAGUUGCCAGCGGGUGAAGCCGGGGACUCUGGCGGGACUGCCGGCGUAAGCCGAGAGGAAGGCGGGGAUGACGUCAAAUCAGCACGGCCCUUACGUCCAGGGCUACACACGUGUUACAAUGGCCGGUACAGAGGGAGGCGACCCCGCGAGGGGGAGCGGAUCCCGAAAGCCGGUCGUAGUUCGGAUCGGGGUCUGGAACCCGACCCCGUGAAGCCGGAUUCGCUAGUAAUCGCGCAUCAGCCAUGGCGCGGUGAAUACGUUCCCGGGCCUUGUACACACCGCCCGUCAAGCCAUGGGAGCUGGGGGGGCCUGAAGCGGCAGG
rnacentral:rRNA from 1 species